AAGAUUCGGAGGAUACGACGCUUCGUUAUGUUUUGAUCGGUGGGCCUGUGUUCAUCACAGCAGCUUUAAUUCUAUCAGGAUUUCUAUACAGAAGACGUCGCCAUGGAAAACAGCCUGAAUCACCGAGCCAUCAUCCAAACCAGGUCCCACAGGACAUUGAGCCGUACAGCACCUUCAUACGGACAGGAGGUGGACUCUAUUCCACUGUCAAAUUACAGCCACACAUCUGUUGAAGCUUUGUAGAACUGAUGAGUGUAUGUUCUUUCAAGAGAGCUUUUGUCCACAAGGUGGCUCCAUUUCAUCACGUAAAAUAAUGAACACUUUUUGUUCAUCUGCAAAUGCAAAUAGUGUAUUUUUUAUGUAAAUAGCAAUAAUCGGAAUCAUCUGAUUGUCUGAUAAAUAAGUGAUUAACACACAACUAAUUAUUAUUGUGUCGAUUUUAUCAAAAACAAAUGUUUUAUAUCAUCUUAAAGGCAGAUUCUUAAUGUUUUCUAGCUACAGUUAACAGACAAAUUGUUUUAUGCAGAGGAUUUGUUGAUGGCCUUAAUGUUUAUGCAGGUUCUUAAUAUUACUUUUUUUUUUUUUUUUUACACGUGUGCCUCUUCUGUCUGUUGCAGUCUGUAAAUGGGAAUGAGCUGCUACUAAUUAUCAUCAAUUUAAAUCCUUUAAAUGAGGAGUGUCAAACUCAUUUUAGCUCAGGGGCCACAUACAGCCCAGUUUGAUCUCAAGCGGGAUGGACCUGGAAAAUCAGAACAUAAUAACCAAUAAAUAACGUCAAUUCCAAA